UACGUAGGGUGCAAGCGUUAAUCGGAAUUACUGGGCGUAAAGAGUGUGUAGGCGGUGCUCUAAGUUCGGUGUGAAAUCUCCCGGCUCAACUGGGAGGGUGCGCCGAAAACUGGGGGUGCUGGAGCGCGGGAGAGGAAAGCGGAAUUCCUGGUGUAGCGGUGAAAUGCGUAGAUAUCGGGAGGAACACCUGUGGCGAAAGCGGCUUACUAGACGACAACUGACGCUGAGGCGACGAAAGCCAGGGGAGCAAACAGG
rnacentral:rRNA from 1 species